rnacentral:tRNA from 1 species
CGGGGCGUAGCGCAGCCCGGUAGCGCACUUGAAUGGGGUUCAAGUGGUCGGCGGUUCAAAUCCGCCCGCCCCGACCA